UCGGUGGAUUGACAUAAAAAGUCUGUUUGAUUUUGUUGAGUUUCUUUUAGCUACAAUUUUUUUGCUCGUCUGUUUGUUAUCUUUUUUUCUUUUUCCAUGUGAUGUUGCCCAGCGGUGUCGCAUGCAAAUCAGCAGCACAGCUUCGUCGAACCAGGUGGACGCCCAUUUUCGAGCCGUUUGCCGCGCCCUCGUCGCCGAGACGCUCGAGUUUUCAGACUUUCUCGUCAAAGUCUCAUCAGCACCCGAGGAUUGGCGGGAACUGAGAAACAACAAA